UUCCCCUACUGCUGAAUCUUGUUCAGCAUGCCUCUCUUCAACAAACUCAUCCUCCUCAUCUGAGGGGAAUAGAUUCAGUACAUCCAUGUCUUCUGCUGCCACAGAGGAGAAAUGGUCUCCCAUCUGAAUUUCUUGAUUGUACCUGGAAGUGACGAGCUGGGCUCAAACUUCUGCCACUCUGAUGCUACCAGGAAGCAGCCCGCGAAUGUUUACACACCGUUGUACAUCCACACUAUCUGACUGGAUUAGCCACUUUGCGGCACACCAGAAGCAGAGAAUUGGAUGGGAUAAAAGAAGUUUGCUCGGAUCUUACUAUGAACGAUGAGAAAACUUCACAACAGCAAUCCUGGGAGGCUGCCCGAAGCAGACGCCCAACCUUACUUCACGACAGCAAUCCUGGGAGGCUGCCCGAAGCAGACGCCCAACCUUACAAUCGGAUAUGACCCACGAACGUGUGAGCAGGAAAAAAGCAAAUGGACUCUGAUUUUCUCAGAUUGGUUUCAGGCUUCAUUCAUAUGUGAAAAUAAAUCUGAUAUGAAUCGGAUGUGUGCAUUUGCGUCUGCCAUGUAAGCGGACAGAUCAGAUAUUCCCAGGUCAAUGCGAGUCGUAUGUCAUUGAAAAAACAACUGUAGCGAAUGACGUCAAUUCAGGUGAACACCAACCACGAUCGCAUGACUCUUCAAUGGCGUAAUACAGGACGAAGUCUCAACCAUAGGCAUAAUUUGCGGGUGGGAGUCGUCUGUGAUGGACUGCUGCUUUACUUUUGUUUUGUUAUUUAUGUUUAU